AUCAUCUUCUUUCCCUUCUCACCUCCCUUCUCCUUAACCUGUUCCAGAUGGAUUUUGCUAUGAGAAUGCUGAGGGAACGUCUCAGGGGCCUGAGAAUGAAGAUGAUGAUGAAGAUUCCUUCUCCGAUGGUAUUGAAGAAGGGCUACGGAGUGGGUUUGGGGGUGCAAGUUGGGGAGGAGGCCAGGAAGGUGUGAGAUGGCAAGACACAGGAAGCUCUUUGAGAGGGGUGCAAUAACACUGUUAGGUUGGAGGGUGAAUGGUAGAGACGAGCAUCUGAGGGACAAGAGAGGGAAGUGUUGAUGGGCCUAGGAGAAGGUUGCCACCCUGCUACCUUCCUUCCCUGGUCAUAACUCUGCCUCCCUCCUUCCCUGGUCACAACCUUGCCUCCCUCUUUCCCCUGCAGGUGACUCUUACGAGAAUGAGGAUGAGGAGCUGCCCCUGCCUGAGGCCCCAGUGACAGGCUUCCUGAGCCCUGGAGGCCCUUCCUGGGAGCAGAGCUGUACGGCCUUGUCCGUGGGUGAGACCCUGAGAGGGACUGAUCCCCCUGACAAUCCUUCCCCGAUCCCUCAAAUUCCUACCCCUGGCACGGAUCCUGACCCCAGCCCCGGGAUGGACUGCCCCAGUCCCAGCCCCUGUGAACCAGCCCUUAUUCCUUCUCCCGCCCCCUCACAG
rnacentral:lncRNA from 1 species